rnacentral:rRNA from 1 species
UACGGAGGGUGCGAGCGUUGUUCGGAAUCACUGGGCGUAAAGGGCGUGUAGGCGGUCCGCUAAGUCUGAUGUGAAAGCCCGGGGCUCACCCCCGGAAGGGCAUUGGAAACUGACGGACUCGAGUCCCGAAGAGGAGGGUGGAAUUCCUGGUGUAGCGGUGAAAUGCGUAGAUAUCAGGAGGAACACCAGUGGCGAAGGCGACUACCUGGCCUGUUCUUGACGCUGAGGCGCGAAAGCUAGGGGAGCAAACGGG